AGUUGUCGAUGAUUGAGAGAUUGAGAGGGAGAAAAUUGAGGGAGUUGUCACUGACCCGAUUGAGUGAGGGAUUUUGUGAGGAUUCCACUGACUUGUUGACUAGCAACGCAAGACAAGACAUGCUUCCGAUAAACUACCUCCGUCGUUUUCCUCCUCUCGCCUCCGUCUACCUCCUCUCCCAUUUGUCUUCUCCCUCCUCCUCUCUCUCUCUCUGGAAUCGAUCGAUCUUCAAAGAGGAUAAAAAGAUCUGAAAUGGCACUCAAAUUAGUGUUUUGGAGUGCAUCUUGAUUAGACCACCACAAAAGAGAAAACGGAAACCAAAAUCAGAGCCAUCAAAACAAACAAAUGCUGCUAAAGGCAAGUCUGGAUAAAGAGAAAGAUCUCAUGGCAGGAAACAUGGACUUGAUGAAGGUGAGGUUAACAAAGUGUGCUUUAGCACCAAGAUUGGAAUCUGGGUGUUCUGAGUUUGUUUUAUUGUGAUUUUUCUAUAAUCUAGAUGCUGAAAUACUUGGUGUUGGAAUUAAUAAGAAUCGAUUGAACAUGGAUUUUUUAUUAGAUUGGUAUGGCGGACAUAUUUAAGAAGUGGUUUAAGAUGCAGUGAUUAUGGAAUUUCUUUAACUGAACAUAUUUGUUUUCAUGAGGUAGAUAGAAUCAUCUGUAAUUUAAUUAAUUAGAUUGA